rnacentral:rRNA from 1 species
UUAAAUUGAAGAGUUUGAUCAUGGCUCAGAUUGAACGCUGGCGGCAGGCCUAACACAUGCAAGUCGAACGGUAACAGGAAGAAGCUUGCUUCUUUGCUGACGAGUGGCGGACGGGUGAGUAAUGUCUGGGAAACUGCCUGAUGGAGGGGGAUAACUACUGGAA